GAGAUGUGAGAGAACGGUUGGUUGCUUCCUGCACAUGCUCUAACCGGGCCUGGAAUCAAGUCUGCAACUGAGUUUUGUGCUCUUGGACAGAAUCAAGUCUGAAACCCUUCAGUCUGUGGGCCAAUGCUCUAACCACUACCAAACCGGCUAGGGUUAAGAGUUUAAUAUUAAUUUAAAAUAUGUCCAAUGGAAUUUUAAAAAAGUGAAUUUAAAAAUAUUAGCUUACUACAUGUUUAUGAUAAAAAUGCAAACAGUAUAGAAAGAUACAAAGUAGAAAACAAGUCUUCCUUUCCCAUCAGUAUUUUCCAUUGAUAAUCACCCAAAAAUUUGAUGGUUAUUUCUUUAAAAAAAUUUUUUUUAAGUUUGGUAAAAUGUACAUGCUAUUUACUAUUUUAACCAUAUUUAGUUGUACAACUCAGCAGUGUUAAGUUUUUUACAUUGUUAUACAGCCAGUCUAGAACUUUUUCAUUUUGCAAAACUGAAACUCUGUACCAAUUAAACAACUCACCAUUUCUCUCCUCCAGCCCAUGGCAACCACAUUCUACUUUCUGUUUCUGAGUUUGACUUCUAUUUUUAUAAAUAUAAUUAUAUACUUGCCACAUUUUGUUUAUACAUUCAGUUGUCAAUUGAUACUUGGGUUGCUUCUACUUUUUGAUUAUUGUGAAGAAUACCGCUAUGAACCUGGGUAUACAAAUAUCUCUUGGAGAUCCUGCUUUCAGUUCUUUUGAGUAUAUCCCCAGAGUGUUUUUGAGGAAUAGCUGCUGCAACAUUUUACAUUCUUACUAACAGUGCACAGAGGUUCUCGUUUCUCCCCAUCCUCGUCAAAACUUGUUUCUGAUUGCAACCGUCCUAAUGGUUGUGAGGUGGUAAUCUCAUUGUGUUUUGGUUUGCUUUUCCCUAACAGUGAUGUUGAUUAUCUUGUCAUGUGUUUAUUGGUUAUUUGUAUAUCCUCUUUGGAAAAACGUCUUAAGAGUUCACUGCCCGUUUUUAAACAGAUUAUUUUGUUGAGUUAAAAGAGGUUUUUUACAUAUUUUCUCCCA